AUGAACGCUGGCGGCGUGCCUAACACAUGCAAGUCGAACGAAGCGCCUGGCCCCGACUCUUCGGAACGAGGAGCCUUGCGACUGAGUGGCGGACGGGUGAGUAACGCGUGGGCAACCUGCCUUGCACUGGGGGAUAACAGCCAGAAAUGGCUGCUAAUACCGCAUAAGACCGAAGCGCCGCAUGGCGCGGCGGCCAAAGCCCCGGCGGUGCAAGAUGGGCCCGCGUCUGAUUAGGUAGUUGGCGGGGUAACGGCCCACCAAGCCGACGAUCAGUAGCCGACCUGAGAGGGUGACCGGCCACAUUGGGACUGAGACACGGCCCAGACUCCUACGGGAGGCAGCAGUGGGGAAUAUUGCACAAUGGGGGAAACCCUGAUGCAGCGACGCCGCGUGAGCGAUGAAGUAUUUCGGUAUGUAAACUUCUAUCAGCAGGGAAGAAGAUGACGGUACCUGACUAAGAAGCCCCGGCUAACUACGUGCCAGCAGCCGCGGUAAUACGUAUGGUGCAAGCGUUAUCCGGAUUUACUGGGUGUAAAGGGAGCGUAGACGGCAUGGCAAGCCAGAUGUGAAAGCCCGGGGCUCAACCCCGGGACUGCAUUUGGAACUGUCAGGCUAGAGUGUCGGAGAGGAAAGCGGAAUUCCUAGUGUAGCGGUGAAAUGCGUAGAUAUUAGGAGGAACACCAGUGGCGAAGGCGACUUUCUGGACGAUGACUGACGUUGAGGCUCGAAAGCGUGGGGAGCAAACAGGAUU
rnacentral:rRNA from 1 species